GCCUGGCUGGUUCAGUGGGUGGAGCAUGCAAUUCUUGAUCCCAGGGCUGUGAGUUCAAGCCCCACGCUGGGUG
rnacentral:tRNA from 1 species